rnacentral:rRNA from 1 species
AGUGGCGGACGGGUGAGUAACGCGUGAGAAUCUGCCUUGGGGUCGGGGACAACCACUGGAAACGGUGGCUAAUACCGGAUACGCCUUCGGGUAAAAGAUUUAUUGCCCUAAGAGGAGCUCGCGUCUGAUUAGCUAGUUGGUGAGGUAAGAGCUCACCAAGGCAGCGAUCAGUAGCUGGUCUGAGAGGACGAUCAGCCACACUGGGACUGAGACACGGCCCAGACUCCUACGGGAGGCAGCAGUGGGGAAUUUUCCGCAAUGGGCGAAAGCCUGACGGAGCAAGACCGCGUGAGGGAGGAAGGCUCUUGGGUUGUAAACCUCUUUUCUCAGGGAAGAAGCUCUGACGGUACCUGAGGAAUCAGCCUCGGCUAACUCCGUGCCAGCAGCCUCGGUAAUACGGAGGAGGCAAGCGUUAUCCGGAAUUAUUGGGCGUAAAGCGUCCGCAGGUGGCGAUUCAAGUCUGCUGUCAAAGCACGGGGCUUAACUCCGUAAAGGCAGUGGAAACUGAAUAGCUAGAGUGCCGUAGGGGUAGAGGGAAUUCCCGGUGUAGCGGUGAAAUGCGUAGAGAUCGGGAAGAACAUCGGUGGCGAAAGCGCUCUACUGGACGGCAACUGACACUCAGGGACGAAAGCUAGGGGAGCGAAUGGGAUUAGAUACCCC